rnacentral:rRNA from 1 species
UGACGGGGGCCCGCACAAGCGGUGGAGCAUGUGGUUUAAUUCGAUGCAACGCGAAGAACCUUACCAUCCCUUGACAUCCUGCGAACUUUCUAGAGAUAGAUUGGUGCCUUCGGGAACGCAGUGACAGGUGCUGCAUGGCUGUCGUCAGCUCGUGUCGUGAGAUGUUGGGUUAAGUCCCGCAACGAGCGCAACCCUUAUCAUUAGUUGCUACCAUUUAGUUGAGAACUCUAAUGAGACUGCCGGUGAUAAACCGGAGGAAGGCGGGGACGACGUCAAGUCAUCAUGGCCCUUAUGGGAUGGGCUACACACGUGCUACAAUGGGAAGUACAAAGAGCAGCCAACUGGCAACAGUGCGCGAAUCUCAAAAAACUUCUCGUAGUCCGGAUUGGAGUCUGCAACUCGACUCCAUGAAGUCGGAAUCGCUAGUAAUCGUGGAUCAGAAUGCCGCGGUGAAUACGUUCCCGGGCCUUGUACACACCGCCCGUCACACCAUGGGAGUGGGCUGCAAAAGAAGUGGGUAGUCUAACCUUCGGGAGGACGCUCACCACUUUGUGGUUCAUGACUGGGGUGAAGUCGUAACAAGGUAACCAAGGGCGAA